UUCUAUAGAUGUUGUUUGACCCGCUGAUUGUUUAUAGCAUUUUCCGUUUUUAUUUCAGAUUUCCACCAUCUGCAUUUAUUGCUUAUUUUCAUCCCUGUUGCAUUCUGCCUGAUUGGACAUUCAUACUCAGCUCUUGAGAAGGAGGAGAGCUUUUGUCAGCCAAUUUACACUGAUCAUUUGAGUUAGUUGGGUGAUGUGGUCAAAGACUUGCAGUGUUCCUUCUGUCUGCUUGACCAAGGAAUUAAUGUCAGCAGCAUCUGCUUCAAUGUCAGUGCAGCUGAGUACCAGAGUUAUAAUACCUAAGGAAGCAAGAAAUUAAUAAUAGAUGCAAAAGGGAAUAUAAACAGAACCUUGCAUAAACCAGCUAACAGCAAACACUCUUGAGUAAUAUAUUAGGAGCAGAGGGGUAAAGGGAAAUGACUGCUCAUUAUAAGCAGAUGAGGUGGGGUGCAAAGAAAGGAAAUGUUGAAGUUCUAAAAUAAGUACUCUGUAUCCAUUUUCACAGAGGAAGAAUGGGAGAAAAUCUCAGUUACAAUACAAGGAGAAGAACUAGUGGAUUUAAUAUGUAAAGUAAUGAUGGCGGAUAAAACAGUGAGACAGUAUAAAGUUUCAGAAUCUGACACCUUUCAUCCCAGGGUAGAUAAAGCAUCUGUAAGCAAUAAGCAAUUUUAAGUAUCUAGAUUCAUGAAUAGUGUCUUUAGCUUGGAAACUGAAAAUGUUCUCACAGUAUCCGAUGGAGGGAGGGAGAAAGUCCACAACAGUACAACAUGAACGUGCGUCAGUUUGAGGUUUUUCUAUUUACUUGACUGCUUCACUGACUGAUCAAAGGUACCAUACUUACAGUUGAUACAUCUCCUGGAUAUCCAAUACAAAAGAGGCAAAGUGUGAAAAAUCACAACCUGCAAUCCUCAACCUUUCACAUGCAACUGAACUGUAAAACAAACAAAUAUUGCAACCUAACUUUUAAAAUACUUA